UACGUAGGGUGCAAGCGUUAUUCGGAAUUACUGGGCGUAAAGCGUGCGUAGGCGGCUUUGCAAGUCAGAUGUGAAAUCCCCGGGCUCAACCUGGGAACUGCAUUUGAGACUGCAUGGCUAGAGUGCGGCAGAGGGGGAUGGAAUUCCGCGUGUAGCAGUGAAAUGCGUAGAUAUGCGGAGGAACACCGAUGGCGAAGGCGGUCUGCUGGGCAGUAGCUGACACUGAGGCGCGACAGCGUGGGGAGCAAACAGG
rnacentral:rRNA from 1 species